rnacentral:rRNA from 1 species
AGCAGCCGCGGUAAUUCCAGCUCCAAUAGCGUAUAUUAAAGUUGUUGCAGUUAAAAAGCUCGUAGUUGAAUUUCGGGAUCAAUAUAUUGGUCGUGCCUCCGGUAUGCACUGGUAUUAUUGAUUUCUACCUUCUGACGAACUGUGAUGUCAUUAAUUUGGUGUCAUGGGGAAUCAGGACCGUUACUUUGAAAAAAUUAGAGUGUUUAAAGCAGGCACACGCUUGAAUACAUUAGCAUGGAAUAAUGAAAUAGGACGUUCGAACCUAUUUUGUUGGUUUCUAGGAUUGACGUAAUGAUUAAUAGGGAUAGUUGGG